CAGCCGCCACGGUAAUACGUAGGGUGCAAGCGUUAAUCGGAAUUACUGGGCGUAAAGCGUGCGCAGGCGGUUAUAUAAGACAGAUGUGAAAUCCCCGGGCUCAACCUGGGAACUGCAUUUGUGACUGUAUAGCUAGAGUACGGCAGAGGGGGAUGGAAUUCCGCGUGUAGCAGUGAAAUGCGUAGAUAUGCGGAGGAACACCGAUGGCGAAGGCAAUCCCCUGGGCCUGUACUGACGCUCAUGCACGAAAGCGUGGGGAGCAAACAGGAUUAGAGACCCGCGUAGUCCCUGUCUCUUAUAC
rnacentral:rRNA from 1 species